rnacentral:sRNA from 1 species
UUUGUUUUUGUUUUGUUUUUUGUUUGGUUGGUUGUUUUUGUUGUUUUUGUUUUUGUUUUUGUUUUUGUCUCCCAGCACUCACUGCCACCCUGCCCUGUGUGUGAACAUAACUGAUAAACUAACUUCUAAAGGAAAGUCCCAUCGUGAUGAUGGGCUCAUCACAGAACCUAACCCUGUAGACAGUGAGAGUGGUCAUGGUCAUGGAGGAAGGUCAUGAGGGUUCUGUUGUACAGCAACUUAUCUGUUCCCACAAGCAAGAAAUAGAGCAGCCAAUAAGAGAGCUAGCUGUGAUCAGAAGAAACAGCAAAGAUUAACUAAAUAUAAAACAAACAUCACCAAGGUAUUAUUGCAUGGUAUGUCUUCAGGGCAUGUGCGCGAAAAUAAAUGUUGAAUGUUCGGGUGGCUCAUGGAUCCUUACUCCUUGCCUUCAAGGAUAAUGAAGAAAGAGAGAGGGCCUGGCUGGCUUAGAUUAUUUAUUUACCUGGCAUCCAUGAGGUCUCAGGUUCAAUCCCCAGUACUUCAAAAAAGUUGGGGAAGGGGCUUUAUGUAAAACUUGUCCCCGCAUCUGAUCAGAAUAGCCAUUAUAAUUCUGCUUAAGUGUAUCCAAGCAUGUAAUCAGAAGGGAAAGACUCAUUCAGGAAACAUUUGUCUGCAUAAUUUACAGAAACACCCAAAUUAUGUUUAAUCGACUACCAAUACCCCAUGGUCUCCCAAAUGCAAAAUUAAACUUCUGUUCAGUUCUCUUUUUCAUUCCAUUCUUGCUGUUCAGAUUGCUGGUUACAGAAUAUUUCGUUAUUUUUGUGAUUCCUACACCAGUCAUUCUUCCGUCUCAUAAGCUGACAGGUAAAAGGUCUUGUAAACUGACAAGUCCUAGACCUCCGAGCUCUUACAGAAUCACCCACUUUGUAUCUGAUGGGACGCUCAGAGUUCCGUUUACUUGGGUGUCUAUAGAAUGAAGAAGAGGAGUUUCCCUUGGGCUGGUGACAGCCCUGCAGAAACAUUGACUGCACAGUCUGCCCGCAGGCACUGCGUUCGAAGGUUGUGAAGCCCCAGAUUGUGAAAGUUACUGAGUCGGUGUGAACUGUAAAGGCCAUUCUGAGUGUCUUACGGAAUGUUCUGUUCUUCCUCACUCCGUGAACAUUUGGUGUCUUAAUUUACAUAGUCACAGUCUCGUUAUUGCCUUAGAAAAUGCCCGAGUGCAUUAUCAGCGGCAGACUCGCUCCCUUGUGCUCCUCCUGAGCGCAUGCAGAAGAGAGGUCAUAGCCCUCUGUGGACCAUGUGCUUUCAUCUCCACACGCCCAGCCCGAGUCCAAGCUGGUUUUCCGCUGGUGCCGACAUCUGGAAGUAUACAAGCAGGGAGGCGGUGCAAUCACUUACAUUUGGUUAGCUAAGUGGCUAAUUGCAGAUCCUCAGUUAAGAUUCAGUGUACUAGAAAUUUUUAAAUCAUUAUGGCUUAUCAUGGUGAAGUCUGGGUCAUAGCUACUUUACAAAUGUAAAUGAUAUUACCACCCUCCCUUCUCUGAUCCCUGCUAAGGGAGAGGAACAGUUCGAAGGAGUGUCUACUUACCUGAGAAGCAGAUACUAAAGAACUCUUACAGGAAGUUGCACGUCCUCCUGCCCAGAGCUGUCACUUCCGAAUGUCUUUAAUAUGUGUUCCUGGCACAUUAGCCUACAUCAGCGGCCAUCCCUGUAGAAGCUGGCCCUUGCUCUUCUGUCUCACCGGUCCCCAGUCCUGCCCCAUGAAUGUAACUUCAGGCCACGCUGACCAAUGUCCUUUAGAAAUCGUGAUGUUGAAAAGCCCUCAGACUUCACUCAGAAAUCCCAUCUACAACUUGCUUUAAAUUAAAGAAGAGCACAGGACAAGAGAAACCAAGAGGAAAAAAGAGGCCUCUCGCUGUCUGACUCACAUCUAUCUUCUUGCUCAGAGCUGGUCUUUCCGAUGACUUGAGCCACCAGAACCGAACUCCUUUCCUAAUUUGUUUGUCCCAGAAACCUGCCCUCCCAUGUGUUAAAGAUGGAAAUAAAGAAUUCCGGUCUCUGUUCUCCCUAA